ensembl:lncRNA
CCACUAUCACCUGACCUCUACCACCACCAUCAUCCCACUAUCACCUGACCUCUACCACCACCAUCAUCCCACUAUCACCUGACCUCUACCACCACCAUCAUCCCACCAUUAUCUGACCUCUACCACCACCAUCAUCCCACCAUUAUUUGACCUCUACCACCACCAUCAUCCCACUAUCACCUGACCUCUACCACAACCAUCAUCCCACUAUCACCUGACCUCUACCACCACCAUCAUCCCACUAUCACCUGACCUCUACCACCACCAUCAACCCACUAUCACCUGACCUCUACCACCACCAUCAACCCACUAUAACCUGACCUCUACCACCACCAUCAUCCCACUAUCACCUGACCUCUACCACCACCAUCAUCCCACUAUCACCUGACCUCUACCACCACCAUCAAUCCACCAUCACCUGACAUCUACCACCACCACCCACAUCCCACCAUUAUCUGACCUCCUUCAUCAUCAACCCACCACCACUAUAACCACUAAUACCACCACCAUCAUCUGACCUCUACCACCAGCAUCAUCAUCCCACAAACGUCAUCAUCCCACCACACCUGUCAUCAUACCACCAACAACAACAAAAUACUGUCAUUGUCGUUGGUGGUACCACCACCACAAUCCGACCACCAUCAUCCUACCACCACCAUUUCCUGUGUGGAUCACCAUCAUCCUAUCACUGCCACUUCCCUGUGUGAAUCACCAUCAUCCUAUCACCUCCACUUCCCUCUGUGGAUCACCAUCAUCCUAUCACCGCCACUUCCCUCUGUGGAUCACCAUCAUCCUAUCACCGCCACUUCCCUCUGUGGAUCUGAGAUGAGACUGGUAGAAGGUAUUCCCCUUACUGUACUCCAAAGAAAUGGAGUACUCAAAAAAAAACAGAAAACCAAUAGACGCCAAAUAUUACGUAAGAAGAAAACACACAUGGAAUUUGCUAAAGGUCUUUGAGAGUGCACAGCAUAAUAUUUGUUUAUUGGAUUUGCGGGACAUCAAUGUUACCUAGAUGCAACACAUAACCUGCAAUGUGGUUGAAUCCUAACCUUCACCCUUACAGUCUCUAGCCAUUUCUCUGUAGUAAAAAAGCAAAUCGUAUGGUAAUCCUGAAAUGCCUGCUAAAGUACUUAUGGACACAGUGUAAAAAUACCAUGGACCCAAAGGUUUAACCGAAUGUAUACUGUAGUGAAUGUUACUGUGAUGAUGAAUCUUUGUUUUGCCGGUGAUCUGUUGGCAUGUAAUAGCCUGACCCCGGAUCCGUUUCCCGGCGUCCUGUCUGGUCUUCUUUAUCUAGCCGUGUGCUUCCAUUGUCAUGCUAGCGCAAACACAUCUGAGACUCAGUGCAAUAGGGGUGUGGUGCCAUCAGUUACCAAAAUCUGCCGCAUCUUAGCAUGAACGCCGGCCCUUUAGGCUUUAGCCUUUUGCUAAGCAAAACUUUAUUUUGGGCCCCCUCCCCUAGUUGUCCCUAGCAGUAUGGGACCACCUAGUGCUCGGGGGGCCCUAAGUGACUGUUUAUGUCGCUUAUGCUUAGAACCGGCCUUGCCGACACAGUGUCACCUAGUUGGCUGGAGCACCGACAGUCCUGGCACAGUGUUAGCCGCGUUAGUUAGUAACCAGAACCGAAAAAUAGAAAUGACAAUAGAAUUAAGAUAUUUGAAAGCGUGCUGUUUACCAGGGCCGGGAUCACUUCCACUCAAAUUCCAGUCAAUGUUGGUAGUAUGUCCCAAUACAAAUUCAAGGUCUCUUCAAUGUAUUUUUAUUUCAAAUUUGGUUUACAUUUGGAAUUGAUUGUGAAGUGAAUGCCCCCCCACCCUGAUAUGAUGUUACAUAUAUACAGUACAACACAGCCAUAUGUGUAUAGUGUUGGCAAUGCUUACAUGCUAGAAUUGAAUUAGGACAAAGUAUGCUGUUUGCUUUGAUUGGUGCUAUCUUACAAUGGCAGUCAUGCACUUUCUGACUAAGAGCGUGUGUGUCUGUGUGCGCGCGUGUGCACAUUAUGAAUUGGUUGUGUGAUUAGGUGAACGCGCGCGCGAAUGGGUGUGCGUGUCUGGGGUGUAUGAGCUUUUGACUGCGCCCUCCAACACACUCCAUCCCCGAAACCUAAACAUUGAAAUUAACUUAUAUUUUUUAUACAAAGGAAACAAUUCAAAUGUUGGCCUUUUUGUUUUGUACAAAGUGAACAUAACAAGAAACUGAAGUUAUAAUAACUUAUGACAAUGGUUCUAGACAUGCUAUAACCGUUGUAAGAAUGGUCUAUGCAUGGUAUUAACUGUUAAGUAAAUGGUCUAGACAUAACUGUUAUAUGGUCUAUACAUGUUAUAACGGUUAAAUAUAUUUGGGUAAGGCAUGUUAUAACUGUUAUGAAGGGUCUAGACAUGUUAUAACUGAGAAUGUCUCAGCUGUAAAUGUAACAAAGAAGUAACAAUGAUGAGUUUUAUUAAAUAUUCCUGAAAGAUAUCAGUGGCAUCUGUGUGCGCUUUCAAGACUGCAGUAGCCAUUCACACAAUUUGUUUUCGCUACUAAAUGCAUGAUAUAGGCUGUGACUGAAUAACAAGCACGUUACUAAACCGUGGGGCAAGUGGUUGAUCCGAACACAUUUGGAAAAUAUAUUCCUGAAUACAUUUGUUAAAUAUAUGUCAAAAUGUUUGAAAUUGGCCACUUAUAUAUAUUUGUAAAUUUAAAUAGACAACCGGCAAGGUGGUGUUUCGCACCUGCAACCUUUUGUUCCACUGACAGGCGCGCUAACCACUACUCCAAACAGGACGAGCUUGGUAAGAGAGGUAGUGGUAUUAACAAUACGUCGGUAAUUACAUUUCAUCUUUUUACUUUCACAGGAC